rfam:Triticum urartu cultivar G1812 contig317995, whole genome shotgun sequence.
AAAGUACUCCCUCCGUCCCAAAAUUAUUGUCUUUGAUUUGUCUAGAUACGGAUGUAUCAAGUCACAUUUUAAUAUUUGAAGACAUGUUCUAGUCUCUUUGAAGACAAGAAAUUUGGGACAGAGGGAGUAGUUG